UUGAUUUUUUUUUUUGCAUUUCUUCAAAUUAUUUUAAAAUAGUACUCUGCUCCCUGUUCCCUUCAUUCAGCACUAUGUCUGAGGGUUUUUUUUCCACAUGAGCACACAUAAAUAUAACUCAUCCUUUGUACUGGCCACACUGAAUCCCAUUGGGUAGAUGUGUGCCAUAAUUUAUUUUAUCAAUCCCAUUUUGAUGGAGCUGCAACUCUGUUUUGCCAUUAGAACUAUGACUAGACCUCAACAUACAUUUUUUUCACAUGUGUCCAGUUUUUUUCCCCCUAGGAAUAAGCAUCUAGAGGUGGAAGUGCCUGUCUGUACUCACACAUUUCACACUUUAAGUGACCCCACUCGAAAGCUGUGGGAAAGUGGUUCGCAGGCCUCCGUGUACUCAGACUGAAAUGUUUUGCAGCGUUUCAGGUUGAGAGGUCACAUCGUCCUCUUCAAUGAAGUUUAAGAAAUUGGCAAUUGGCAACUAAUGUUUGUUUGUGCCAGUGCUAAAUACUUUACUUUGCAGUGGAGUGUAAUUCCCAUUAUCCUUAACUAUGAAAUGAAGGCAUAGUCCUGUGCUCAAGUCGGUAGCCAUUUAUACAGCAUUGUCACCAUUCUGUUUCAAGCUCAUGGCAGUGACAGGAAAUAUGUAUCUGUAUGUCUACUUGGCCCUGGUAUUUAGGAUUUUAUGUGCUGUCCAUAGCUGUACUCUGACUCUUGGAAGAGGUCACUGCCAUCGAUCAGAUGAUCAAUGCGUUAUCACUAGCACCAGCUUACACCAAAUAACAGCUUGUCUGCUCCAAUCCUAACACCAAUCCACUACACUUAGCAACUUCGCUCUAGUAGGCAUUCCUAAAAGGAAAAUAUACAACCACAGUUGUACUCACUAGUUCUUACACACUAAACCUAUAAAGCAACUCUUUAUUGAAAAGCACCUUGCCAUCUAAAAUAUAUCCCUCAGGUAGUUUCCUAAAGUGCAGUUUUUAAUGGUAGAAUAAAAACUAAUGCUAGGCACGUACAAAUUUUUAUCGAUUUACCUCAAAUCCUCGUGUUAAAAUGGAUGGUGAUGUUCACUACAUAAUAAAGUUAUAAAUGUGGACUUCUAAUGUAUAUUGUUUGCUUAAUACAAUUUUAAAUCUUGUCAAGUAUAAAUUAUAUAGACAUUCUAUUCAGAGCAAGCUUUUAUAUAUCAUUUCCAACGUCAAUGAAAUCGCAUUGACUCAAGAACAAAUGAUUCAUUGUUUACUUCUAACUUGCGCCUCAUGUAAUUCACAGGACUGUGAUUUUAUUUUACUAAAGAAUCCCAGGGAUUCGUGUCGUGCAAAAGAAUUUUGAGAAGAUUCCUAUUCUAUUGUUUCAAAAACACCCCCAACACACACACACCCACAUACCUCAAAUAAAUUAAACAUUAAAAUUGUUAUCAUAAGUCACUUCUCCAUACCAAGAGCAAGCAUAAUCUUCAGUUAGAAGGCUCAAUUGGCAGAUCAUUUGUCCUUUGUCUCCCAUGCACCCUCUGUUGAGUGUGAGAAACUUAGGCUGUUGUAAUUACGGGAAACAAUAGAGAUGCUACAUUCGAGCUUUCAUUGUGGAGCCUGUCUUUUAAAAAAUUAACUGGCCUUCCAAAGGUUUGGUAUGGGGAUCGGGGGGAGGCACAAAUGUUUUUCAAGUUGUCAUAGCAACUUCCUACAUCGUUCCCCAGAUAAAAGCUAUUCCAAUAUUCAAUUAUUGAAACUGUGAAUCUGUUAAUCUAUAACACAUUUUUACUCACUUAUGUAAUUUUAAAUUUCAGUUUCAUUUGAUUGAGUGUUUUAAUCUCCCUUAACUAGUGAGUAAGUGAAAAUAAAUGGUGCAUUCCUAAUGCUAUAAAUAUGAAAAAUAGAAAGUACUUAAGGCCUGCAGGCAAAUACAUUAAAAUCAGUCAGAUUUCUAGUUAACAUAUUCUCGUUCUGUUUGUGUGCAAAUCCACUACACCGAGGAAACAGAUCACAAAUGCAUGGCCUUACAAAAGCCCUGUCCCAAUUUCAUGUUAUGACAGCAGAAAUUGGCCCAAAUCUCUAACCAUUUCCCCUAACAGGCCCUGGCUGGCUGGUGCCAUCCAGGUGAGGCUCAGUCUCAACAAGGGGAACGGCUCGUCAAAUUCCUCUCAUCUGUCAGCGUAGUGGAUUAUUUCUUGAGAGACUGAAAUUGCCUGCUUGCAAUCUGAACACCAUCAAUCUUGCUGUGGAGGGGACCGGGGAGCUGCCUGUGAGGUGCUGACUGGAGGGGGAGGGACUACCAUUCCUAAGCAGGUGAGGGUGGCUGUAGAGCACCCCCUCCACACACCCACUGCCCCCCCACCCACACACACACUCCUAGUGAAUGAUUUGUCAUUUUGCACAUUUCUACAUGCAUGGCAUACAUGCCAAGUGCACUGUUCUGCCUUAUGAAGGGACCAAUUUUUCAAGCUUAGGCAAAUGUAGCCAGGCCAGGGCCAGCUACUGUCUCAUUUUUUUUCUCAUCAUGCCACUAUUCGCACUGAUUUGAGAGAAUGAGAUUAUGUUUUCCCUUUUGUUGCUCAUUUAUCCAACUAUUUAUUUAUGUAUUUGCUAACGUAAGAGUGGAUUGCCACAGAUAACUGGCCAUGCUUUUUGUCGUUUUCUUAUUUGUUUGUACACACAUUUCAUUAGCGUCCCUGACCAUUUAAGACCCACAGAAGAAAAUGACACUACACUUAUCUGAGCAAAAAAGAAGAAAAGAAACAUUUUUUUUCUCUUAAAACCCCAAAACAGGAGAGCACAUUAAAGAGUGACUGAAAUCAUUUAGAAGAUUGCUAGGGCCAAGAUUGACCAUUUUAAUCUCUGCAGCUAUUGGGGAAAUCCUAAGAAAGUUGUUGAAUAAGCACAUUACAAAACCCACUGGACUUCCAAAUCAACAUAACUUUAAUCUCUGUGCAUCUUGAAGAGGCAUUUAUAGUUCCUCCUUUUUACAGUAAGGCUGUAUAGGGCUCAAAGAGUGAAUAUUUGUGGGUAGACUUGUUGGCAACAUAGUUCCUGGGAACAUUUAAGGUAUAGCUCUAAUACGUAUUGGCUGGUAAUAAGCAAAUUCUAUGGUAGAUAAGGGGAAACAUGAGUAAUGAGUUUAAUUUCAGUCAGAAUCUUGUAUCUGUUUUUCAAUUUUAAAAAUCAUGGUAUUUUAAUAAGACCUAAGAUGAUAUGAAUGUCUGUUCCACGUAAUAGCUCCAGCUCCCAUAAGCACAUAGACACACACUAUGUGAGAGUCCACUACAAACUAUACAACAUCUUUUUGGUUUUGGUUAAUGACUACAUGCACAGCAUAAAGACAGGUUGUAAUCGCUGGCAUAUCUUAGUCAUGUGUCUCAUGGUUGGAAAAUAACAAAAGCAACAAGCUAUUGUCCUGGCCAAAUAGAUUUAUUUAGCAGUUUGAACUGUAAAAUUUGACUCAAUCAACAUCCCUAAGAUACAGGUUGCAGCCCCUUACAGAGAAAGUCUGCCAUGUCUGAUAUUUGUAGGAGAAAUCAACAAUGCACAUAGCAUUUCCUAUUUCCUAGGAAGUUGUCCCCCCCCCCAUCUCCUGAUAGGUAAAUUAGUUCAAAUAUGAAAAGUCACUCAUCCAAGGUCAUAUCAGCAAAGUUAAGUGACAGAGAGAUGUUGACUCGUUCCUGGCCCUCACCACCUGCCACUUGCUUCAGCAAACUCCCAGAAUUUGCUGACCCCUUAAAUGGGUACAUAUAUUGACAUGACCUUAAAGUUAUAAAUUAUAUCUAAUGCUUCUCAAAGAGGCUACUUGGUAUAGUCAUAUUAUGUACUACAGGGUAUCCCCCCAACCUGUGACAGAAUCACACGGACACGACCUCCAUUGGUAGCCAUUCUUUGGGUGGCUUCAAGCUAGUCACCCAGACCCUCCAAACUUCUACUUCUGUUGUUUGGGAAAAGGGGAUGCAAAGACUGAAAUAACAGUAUGAAUUAACCCUGAACAUGGUGCUUAGCCCUGUCCGGAUUAAUGGUUCUUUUAUCUCAUUGUUAAGUAUUACAGAGAAGGCGCAUUUCCCAGGUUAUUUGUAUGACUAUGCAACAAGCCGAAGACUUUUCCUGCCAGAACAGAUUGGCGAUUAAGUGAUUGGAGGUAGCUCAGGGAUCCCCAAAUCAAAGAUUGUGUUCCCUCCAUGUUGGCACUGAAGCAUCUGGCAGGAAUCUGGCGCUUCCCAUGCCAGGGGCUGCACACAGGACACAGAAAACACAGGCGAGCAGCACCCGCGCGCGGCAGCAGAGUGGUUUCCAUGCCCACCCGCAGGGGCACCAGCGCCCCCUCUCUCCCUCGCUGACCCGACUUACAAAAAAGAAGGCGGCUGGGACAGGGGACAGCUGGCCUCCGCCCCCAGCCCUCCUCUGCACCUAAGGGCUGCAGACUCAGCAGGCGGGCGCUGGCAUGCACCCUCCCAUUUCUAUCCAGUCUGCCCCAGACUGGAAGCUGAGCCCCGGGAGGCAGCAAAAGACACCGGGAGAGGGGCUGGAGAAGGCCAAAACAAGAGCAGGGGAAUCACAGUCAAGGUUGCGGAGCCACAAAAGACAGCAUGCAGACCGCGGACCUGCCACACGGAGAAGCCCUGUGGAUGGCAGGAGGCCAGGGAAGGAUGUGGAGAGGGGCCUGGAGGGAGGGGCGGCAGCACCCACGAACCGAAGAGCGGGAACUUGUGCGUGCAACUGGUCCCCCGGAACGUUGGACUUCACCAUCAGAGGGUACCACCAAGGACUUUGAGGUAGGGGGUGCGGCGAAAGGACAGGACACAAAGGCUAAACACAGCUACGCAGAAAACAGAAAGAAACCUUUCUGAGAACCAACCAGGAAGCUUAAAAACAAUCGAAACCCUGGAGCGACUUUGCAAUGAAAAAGCUGAAGAGGCAAAGAAAGACAAAUCCAGAUCGGAGAGUGAGGGAAGGGAAGAGUUAGAAGCCAAGGAAAGCAAACUGCACCAGGAACUAAAAGGAAAAAUUAAAUCAAUAAAGGAAAUUUUCAAAAAUCAUGCCAGAGCGAACUUGUUCCUGAAACUGCCAACAGAGGGAGGAAAAAAGGGUGGGGGCACCGAACAUACUGGAGAAACCAAAAGUAAAGAAAGGAAGGGAGUGAAGACAGGAUGCAAAUUAAACCAGACACGACAUAGAUAUCUGUUCCAAGACAAUCUUCUCAUCAUAGAUGUGGCAGGACAGCUAACAGGUGUCUGGGCUCUGUGCAUCCUCAUCUAUGAUGUGAGUUUUGAGUGAGACCAACUAUGACAGAUAAUCCCAGAAGACAGGUCAAAUGGAUGCAAGCUGCUGCUACUGCAAUACAUUCAAAUGAUAUCAUCAACAGAAAGGGAACUUGGGGCUGAGAACAGAAGGUGACCAAAGCUGACCUGGGAGCACUAUAGAGAGACUGGGAGGUGAGCAUUAGACCUACAUUUUGGUAAUAAUCAACACACAACUUUGUAGGGCACAAACAGUCCCAGACCUUUCAAAUGCUCAAACCCCUACUUGUCCUACUGACCUCCUAACAUUGUAACCCUGAUAAUCUAAUUUAAGUUGAAGAGGUUUGAAAUUCUCUUUCAGCUGCCACAUAAGAAAAUAUUUGCUCCUAGACAUUCUUUGAAGAGCACUCUCUAGUCUAUUUUCAAUUGCUAUAAGGGAAGACUGCAGGCUGGACAAUUUUUAAAGAAAAGAAAUUUACUAUUACGGAAGCAGAAGAGGCUAAGGGCACAGUGGUAAGAGCCCUCAGGCCACAUCAGGAUAUGGUAGAAAGGGAAAGUAGGCAUUUGUAAAAGAACAGGCAAGAGCACGAGGUUAAAACUUAUAGCAAACACCUUGCUUUUGUGACUAAGGAACCCACUCCUGAGAUAGCAGCAGCCGCCCAUUCACUAGGGCUCCUUCCCUGCUCCUGGCAGAAGUCCUACUUACCAGGCCCCACUUCCCAAAGCCCUCCACGGGGAUCAAGCUCCUAAUACAGGGACUGAGAAGAUAUGGACAAACCCCAGCCAUGUAGUCAGUCCUCCGUGGUGGAAUGCUUUUCAAAUUUUUUUUUUAAUUCUGUAGUUUAUGCUCCUCAACUUGGGGAUUAUGGGUAGGCAGAUAAAGCUUGUCAUUUUUAAAAAGAAAGUGGUAAGCAGUGAUCAGCCAAUAGUCACUUCCAAGGGCCAUCUGCGACAAGUCUGUAGAGCAUUCCGUUUGCAUAAUACAUGGGAAGUCUAUUAAAAUACAGCACACUGCUACAAGAAGGUAGAAAAAGUCUAAGCGAAAUUACACUUCCUUGUAAAAUAGUCCCUCUAUUACUGGCAACAAAGCUGAGUAUUUUUUUUUUUCUGUAUUGCUUUAAAUUGAAAAAUCCACUGUUCAAGAAAUCCGUGGAUAGAUGCAGUUUUGUCUAAGGCUGCAGACAUGUUGCAGCUCUGUAAGGAGCAGGAUGCUGAGCAGUGAUCAUUGAGCAGAGUAAAUGCCUGUUUACCUGACCAUCUCUGCUCUAGGGUAAGCAAUCGCGAAGCCCUAGUCAGUCAGAAGAGCCAGCUGUGCGUUUGCUCACAAUGCAGACCUAUAUAUAUGACCUAAAAAAGGCUACCUCUUGUGUUACUAGGAUGGAGAAAUAAAUAUCAAAUGCUUUACCUGUAAGAAAAGAGUCUCAUGUGUCAGAAGUAGGCCAGCAAGCCGGUAUCUUGACAGUGUGCUAGAGACUGUAGCAGAAGGGGAUUGAAGGUCUGUAUUUUUUUCACUCAUUCUCUACCUCAGGCUCUCAAGCAUAAUGUCAUCGCUGCUCUAAAAACUGACACUUUUCUGUUUGUCAAGGCUUGGUUUUUAAACCCAUGCAACUCUUCUCACAGCUUCAAACCUGGUUGCUUGCUACGGGUAUAGCUUUGAAAAGGUUUGAAGCAGCAAGAGUAGUUACUACUAAUGACGGUUGAGUUGGCCCCCAACAGGCUUUCCAAAGUUUGAUGAUUCUUGCAGGGAAAUCUAAAGAAUGGAGAAGAUGGAAGAUGGUUUCUUAUCUCCAGAUUUUAAUUAAUCCAGUCUAAUCAAGACAUUGGAAUUAUCAGCAGAUGACUUACACUUGAUGCCUGAAGCCUUUUCAUUGAACUGGCAGCCCUGGAAGUAACCUCUGAAGAUAUUUUUGAGCAGUUUGGUUCAAACUCCAUGUGGAGUGUUCAAUCAGGACUGGAGACACUUAUAAAUGGCUUUCCUUUCCAAGCUGCCUGAGUGACAGUCAUUCCUAUAUCAUACUUCUUUCAAGACAGAUGGUGAGGACACAGUUUGCUGUUCAGUUUCCAUUCGCUGCUGUCUUUUCUAAGCAACGUGGGGAAGGGAGCUGCAAACGAGAACGGUCUUCAAAAGCCUCUCCGCCUAAUUUUAACAACACUGCAGAGAGGCUGUAGCUUUUCUGUUAUGGUUCUCUCCCUGGGAUGUGAGGAAGCAUGUCUAAAGUGUGCCGUCCAAGAGUCAUAGCUGAUGAAAUGUAGGUAAUCUCUUAACAUCUAAAUACAGGAGACACUGCAGAUUCCUAUGCUCCACAGACGACACCUACCAGUGAUAAACUCCGAGUUACCAACAGUGCAUCGGUGUUGUAUUAAAGAAAGAAGUGCAAGCACUCUCUCCUGGAGUCAUUUAACUGAGCAAGAACCCAGACUUGAAUUUUCUAGUCCAUUCUCCCCUUAUCUUCCUCCCUCUGUCUGUUUUUUUGUUUUUUUGUUUUUUUUUCCAUGUGUCUGAAUCUCUACCUGCCUGAAGGCCAUCUUGUGAAUCUGUUUUUGUGUCUGUGCCUUUGGUCUGUAUAUGUCUGUUUCUUCCUAUGUGAUUAUAUGUCUUUGUGUCUGUGGGAGUGUGUGUGGAAAUGGUGUGUCAGGUAUGUGCUUGCUGUGUUGUACGUGUCUCUGUGUGUCAGUGGUGUCUGUCCCUAACAAAGGGCUUUGCUCUGUAUUUAUUGAAUGGCACAUGGAGAAGGAGUGGGAUACUUUAUAGAAAUGUUUAACAGAGUUUUACCAGGGGUUAAGUCAAUGGCUCCAACUGAUCCCAACUGACUGACAUAAGAAACAUCAUUGUUUCUCAAGCGAUAUCCAUAAGCAUAUGCUUUCAACUGUGAUGGUGGAUGCUAGGAAGUUGCUUUCGACUUCUAUAUUUGCUACUUUCAGCAAAUGAUGUACAUGUAUUAUGAUGGAUGAUGAAUAUGGAAAAGCAUGUAACUUAAAAUUGCAGCUAUGGAUUUUUUAGGUUGUAAAUGUUGUUUAUGUGGGAAAUCCAAGGCAGUAAGACUGGUUGUUACCUUGUUCUCUUAGAGGCAGGUUAAACAAAGAGUUUGAAUUCACCGUAUUUUUAGAAGUCUAAAGUGACCACCAUGUAUGUUAUGUAAUGUUCAGCAAAAGUUGCAGUCUCCUAGAACAUGAGAGAUGAGUACAGAAUAUUGCAUUGCCACACAAUGCCUUUCCUGACACCAUCAUUAAGACUUUCUGUGUAGGGCAUUGCCACUGACAGAACUCUGAUUCAUACUGGUUUGUGACUCGAUCCUUUUUAUCCCAUAAUGCCAUAAAGGAAAAACAAAGAUCCACCAAACUCUCGAAUAUGCAACAUACAAAUGUGUGUUUUUCUUUACUCUCCACACUGAGUGCUUAUGGUGGGCUCCCCGCUUAGGCUCUUCAUGUUAAUGCUUUAAUGCCAAAAGGUAAGUGUGAUCUUGUGGAUGACAUAGAUCUCAUACACUUCUCUAAGUCACCUGGCUCAUCUGUUGCAGAGUCCAAGUGAAAGGGCAAAGCUCCACUUCCUAACUCCUGUCACUAAACAGCUUGUCGCCACACUCAUUGCUCAGGGUGACGCUGAAACACUCACUAUCUUUAGGAACUAGAUUUGAGCACCUGCAGUCUCACCUCUGAAAUCCAGCCCAGUCUUUCAUUUUGAUGAAUUCUCACUUGGCUUUCUUUAAGACAAAUGAAAGAUAGUUCAAACAAACCUGACCCCAUGAAAAGUGUUAUUGUCUUGGAAACUCCACACACCCCUAUGUUUAACCUAUUUAUAAUGCACACUCUAGAAAGUUCAAAUACUCAGUCAUGUUCCCCGAUCUUGGAACACACAGUUCAUUAUUUAGUCAAGUAUUGGGUGGAUGGAUGGAUGGAUGGAUGGAUGGAUGGAUGGAUAGAUGGAUAUGGUGCAUGGAAUUGAAUAAAUAUAUUAGUAUGAUAGAACAAAUGAUCGAAUAAGAUGGACAUAUACAUGGAUUGAUGAAUAGACAAAUAAAUUAAUAGGGAUAUCAGAAUGUAGAGACCCGAGUUCUCAUUAUAAGAUCCUUUUCUUCUGUGUCAUGUUUUAACCAACCAUAUUCUGUCACUAGUUCAGUCCUGGUGCUGACUGCCAGCUUAGCUAUUAAACUCAAAACAUGCCCAGCUCUAAAAGCUUGGUUCUCUCCUUGGUAGAGAGCCUGGUCCAUCAGGAAGCUUGUCAUUCUUAGUUUAAGAAUAAACUUUACUUUUCUCACCCGGUGUAUCUGUCGUCCUCUCUCCAGUGCUAGCCCAAAGGGCAGUUAAAGCAAACGAGACAAAGCAUUUGUGCUUCGGACAUAAAAUGAACAUCUGACUUCCCAACUGCAAAAGAUGAGAAUGCUUCUCUGUUAUUUCCUUUUACAUAGCAAACAUUAAGUGCCCCUGUUGGUUGCCAGGUAUGCUCCAAAAGUGGUUGAUAAUAUGGGGAUGAAAAGAGAAUGGGCAAAAAUUGUUGCACUGAUGCAACUUUCAUUCCAAUGGAGGCAGCCAAAUAAUAAGUGAAAUAGACACGCAAACGGUAGGGUGGAUGAAGACACAGCACAGCAGUGGCAGAAGCAAUGAGGAGGGCAGGGUGGAACUUUGAAAAGUGAGAGGCUCAUAUAUAUCCCCUCAGAAAAGCAAAUUGAAACCCUAUUUCUCAGCACCUCAGUAUGUGAGCUUUAUCUGAUAAUGAAUUGGAUCAUGAGCUAAUUCCUCAAGGUGUGAUCAUAGGAAGCUAGCGUGGGCUCCUGAAGCAGUUAUACUACCGUCCUGAGAGACAACAUGAAGACACAACAAUGCUUAAACUUCAGCUAGGAAGGGAUCAUAUUACCCCAGGCAGUUCAUCAAAACACAGGUUUCUGGGCUCAGGGUCUCUUAUCCAGGCACUCGAUGUCAGAUCAGCAUGGGUGUAUGUAUUACAAGUUGCCUGUUGAUGCUGAUAGCUUUGUCCCAAGGUCCACUGAAUUGCUUAGUUUGUAGAGCUGCAAUGUGACCUGGACCUCUUUCUCAUCUAAGCUGCUGAAAUCAUUCCGAGAGUUAGAAUAGAGAAGAAGCAACCAAUUCUGACUUCUGCUUUAGCAGCACACUGGGCCUGUUGGGGGUGGGAACAGACUGUGAGGAAUGAAGAGGGAAGGAGAAGAGCCCAGCUAUGAGAUAAUUAAAGUAAGAGUGUACAGUGUGGAACAGCUGUGCAGAAGCAGCUAGGAGCUGAGGUGUGCUCCAGGAUUUUUGUUGUUGUUGUUGUUGUUGUUGUUUUUGUUUUUCUUUUUUAAAGUCAAUGGUUUAUUUGUAAUUUUGGUAUAGAAAAUAAUCUUUAAAAAUUAAUGGAGGCUACUAAAAUCUUGAGACAUAGAAGCAGAUCUUAAUAGGCAUGGAGAGUUGCAGGACAGGGUCUUUGUUCUUUAGAAAGCUGACAGACUGCUUAUAACUUGAAAUAGCCAACAUGUAGGGUCCAAGGAGAAAAUUAAGACUUUUUAAGUAACAACUCAAUUUCACGAGGAUCUGAGUACUUUGGGUAGAUAGAUGAUUCAUGUUCAGAUUCAAAUACUACUUCUGCCUGCCUGCCUUCUUUCUUCCUUCCUUCCUUUUUUCCUUUCUUCUUUCUUCCUCCCUCUCUCCUUUCUUUUUUCUUUCCUUUCUUCUUUCUUUAAGAGAAGAACCUACUUCUGUCACUUUGUUAAUUCACUAUAAUCCGUAAAUACAUGAGAGAGAGAGAGAGAGAGAGAGAGAGAGAGAGAGAGUCCCUAGCCCUCCUCAUCAAGGAAAUUUCUCCUUACAACUAUAGACCAUUACAGAAAACCAUAAUCAAUAGGAAUUCAGAGUUGUAGAGUCCAGUCCGAACAAAUACAUUGACAACAACACCCCUGCACCUAAAGCUCAGAGAUCAUUGUGGGAGAGGGAAUGAAGGGUUGUAAGAGCCAGAGGAGUUCAGAGUUUGCUGUGAGAGUGUAACUCAGGUUUCUUUAGAGGGCUGAGAAGUUCUUGGGUAUAAUUCACAGAAUAAAUACAUAUACAAGUACGUAUACAUGUACAAUUUGAUUUACCUGGUGCCUUCAAAACAUGGCACUUUCAGAGAACAGCUCAUGUUUAACAUGAGCUAUAUUGUUUCUGAGUGGCUCCAGCUCUCCCUCCACUCAGCCAUUCACCCAUCCAGCUCAAGUCGUGUCUUGAAAUUCUGAAGGACUCUAAGGGCCACGCCUUGCAGUCACUUCCUAAAUGGCUGGGGAUGGAGAAAGGGGUCCUUUUAUUUUAUACUGUCACAACCUUACAAUCCUAUGAACUUAAGAGCUUUUGUUUGGGUGGCUAAUGCGGAUGACAGCACUCCUGUUCUGUUCAAGGCCUCAGUCCAUUCAGAAGGUGACAUCUAAGAAGGUCUUGAAUCAUCUCUUUAUAUACAGGCCAGGUCUUACAAUGAAAUGUUCCCAAAUGUGCAGAAUGAGGUGAGACUCCCAACACUUAAAGACUAAAAAGUGCUGUUCAGACAAAACCAAUCUAUUGCUGAUUAGACGAGACCAGUGCAUUCAGUCUUUGAAGCCUGUGAUGUCUAAUUAACAUGCCCCCUGUCACUUCUGUGUACUCUCAUUUUCCUACUAAUCUAUCAUUUUGACAGAAUGCUCAUCACAUCCACCCAGAACACUUCAAAAACAUAAUGACUGGGUUGUUGUUGUUGUUUGUUUUGGUUUUGCUGUUUGUUUGUUUGUUUGUUUGUUUUUGACAGUUUUAAAAACACUGUCAGGUAAUUUGGAUUUCUACCAACACCUUGUUUUACUCUUCUUGUCUCAUCUCCUCUCUCUCUCUCUCUCUCUCUCUCUCUCUCUCUCUCUCUCAUUUCUUUGAUUUUUUUUAAAGAAUAGUCUGUUUAAGGAACUUAAAUUCUAAAAGAAGAUAGAACCUAUGACCUUUUCUUCCAUGACAAAACUGAAGAGUCUUUACAUUUAUAUUCAAACCAUUUAAGUGCUGGCACAUUAAAUCAUUAUCUAGCUGAAUGUGAAUAAAACUAGCUUCUCUGUUCCUGGGUCCCUGUUAGUAAGUUAAGGAGAUUGGACUGAAUCAUGAGGGUUGUCAUGAGUACUACAAACAGCUGGUUAUAGGUGUUCUGUUUGAGCUUUACUUUCUAGUAGUGGUGGUGUCACUGGGUUUUGAGCAUCCUGAGGAUGUGCUCUGUCAUCAAAGUCAACCUGCCUCCUGAUUUGGCUUGAAAUGAGGCAGCUGUUUUCAUCUGUAUCCUCCAUAAUAUUAAAGCAGGCAACCCAAUCCAAGCCAUAAAAGUGCUGCUCUAAAAGGAAAAAUGAGUGAAGCAAACAUAAACAGGAAGAAACAUAGCCAAGAACCAGAGAGUCAUAGGCUAGGAUGGUACAGGGCAACGCCAAACAAGCAGGCUCUGCUACUCAGCAACCAAAUGCAUCAUAGGAAAAGAAACGUGGACUUGAAGCAGCACCCCCUGUCCAGAAUCUCAAAUCACCCUUUUGUACUCACAGUGCUUACUUGUCCUUAAGUAACAAAUAAUUCAAGUUAAAAUAAAACAGCAACAACAAAUCAAAUUACCAGCUCACUCUUUCAGAUGAUGCUAACCUAAAUGCUAGGUGUUUGCAUGAUGAAAGCCAUGCUGAUUGAAAUUCAUACUUUGGGGAUUAUUUUUGCAUGCUAAGUUUCAUAAGAGGAGGAUCAGUUUGCAUGACUCCUCUCUGAAAAGUAACCACUAAACACACAUAUGCCCCAACACAGAAAAUGUAAGUCAGUCAUAAUGUCUAUCCUAAGCUAAACAGAAAGGCAGGUGACCAGGAUAUUGCAGGAACACUAAUAAAAGAACAUGAACAAUUUCCAGUGAAGCCCGAUGUGUACAACUGCAGUUGGACCUGUCUAGGACUAAAUAAGCAAUAUAUUCUCUAUUUCUCACCAGUUCCAAUGGCCAAAGGUUGAAACAGAGAGUAUAAAUAACAAGGAUGACCUAGAUAGUCAAAAAUAGAAAACAGAUGAUUGUUACUAUAAAUAGAAUUUUUAUUUCAUAGACAGAUUAAAAUGAUUAAAGUGUGAAUACCUUUAGAAUACCUAAGUGUUUUCUUUUUAAUUGAUAUUUCAUUUGAUAUGUACAGGCCUAUAAAAACUUCAAGAAUUAGGCUUAUGGAUUUUUCUAUAUGAAUAUAAUUAGAACCUUAUCUAUCAGUUUAUAGUCUAGAUAUUGUACCACACAAAAGGAAGUCUGGGGGAAUUUUCAUCAGUUUGGGGGACAUAAAUGGAAUGAUAUGAGCAAAAGCAUAGUGCUAUACCCAGAAUGGCUCCAGGGAUUAGACCUGAGAGGGGUAACAGAAAAGGAGAAGGGAGAUGGAAACACAGAAGAUCUGGGACUAGGUACUCUGAUAGAGAAACUGCAGCACACUGGGAGCUCAAUAUGUUUGUUAUAUAGAGUUGAAUAGGGGGCCUAGGUUUUGUAGACAUCUAAGUCAAGGAGAUACAGUUUACUAUACAGCUGGAUCAACAAGGCAGAUUUUCCUAAUUCCCAUAGGAGCAGAAGAACAGGCCAUCAAAAGCAAUGGAAGUCAGUUACUGCCCACACUCUCAAUAUCUACACAUGGACCACAAUGAUAGGUCAUUUCUCUGACACUGAAAUGAGCCAAUCCAAGCCAGAUUCGAUUAUAUUAAAGGCAAGUUUAUUGUGAAGCUGCUGUCAGGGGAGCAAGUUCACUGGCCCCAAAGAGCAAGGCCAGGGAUGUCUCCAAGGGGAAAAGAGGGUAGGGUGGGGAGACAGUAAGGGGUGCACAGACAUAGAGAGAGGAGGAAAAGAAGAGAAAGAGAGACCCAAAUGUCUGGAUUAUAUAGGGAGGAGCUGGGGGAAGGGCAUCCCAGCCACUGGGCUGAAAAGUUCAGGGUUGGGAAUGGGAUAUGCCAGGUAGGAACUAAGGGAUGGUGGGAGAACCUGGGGGCCAGGUCUGCUUUGAUAUGUAAAAUAUGGACCUCAGUCCCUUGUUCCCUGGUUCAAAAAAAAACCUGAAGACUUCACCACCCUCUGAGCAUCACCCAGAGUGAGAUGCAGGGGGGGCUUUGCCAUUUCCCCAGGGUCUGGGCUUCUGGUCCUUGCCAUGCUUGUGCGUGUGUCAAUAGUACACACUCUGCAGGACCUCGACCACGCCGGGCUUCCUCCACUUCCCACAGUGUGAGCUGGGCUUUAUACCUCAAGUUGGGCUGUCUCCCAAAAUGCCAGGAGAAAUAAUCUUGGAUAAUUUAUUUUAGACCAUGAUUCUGAGAAGCAGGGAGGAAGGAGAGCAACAUUAUGGAAAUGCACUUAUGUUUCACUGGAAAAUGCACUGGAAGUGACUGAGAACCACAGAGGAUGUCUUUGGGCACGCUGUCUCUGAAAGCCAGGGUCUCACCUUCCAUGGGUAUGGUCUACCUCAAAUCUGAGGAUUGGCUGUGGCUUUUGGAGAAGGGCUGAAGCAGGAGAAUGGAAAGAUGCUGAGGGACAGGGUGGAGGUGGAAUCUAUGACCUUAAAUUGAGUAUGAUGAGAAAUGUGCUGGUCCUACCUGCCUUCAUAUGAAGACUAUGUGUCUGAGCAACAAUAGAAACCUCCAGCUUUCUCUAAACCAGGAGUCAUUGUGUAUGGAUGACCCCAGUGUUUUCCAUACUUGUAUCUUGUAAUAGACCUCUCUGUAGGUUUUUAUCUUCUAGCUGUUUUCCUUCUAAGAAGGAUAGGCUUACUCCAUGGCAGGCUUCAAAUUGGCAGUUGAGGAGACUAGGCCUAAAUCUCUGUUUCUAAGAACUGGGCAAGUCUAGUCAAGUCCAGGUCUCAGAAGCUGCCCUGCCACAUAGCCUGAGGUAAGGAUAGUGGGUAAGCAGCAGUUUCCAAGCAAUAGUUUCCAGACCCCCAAGCCCCAGCAAUGGUUCUGGAAUAAGCCUAGGGAUAGAGCCAAGAUUAAUAUAGAGGUAGCCUAACCCUCCUCAGAAUUCCCGUAAUGUACUUGAAAUUGGGCCUGCAAGCUCACUUUGGGGUCUUUCCAUCUUUGUAGAUAGUAGACCCAGCCCCCCCCCACCACCACCACCACACACACACCAGCAUGCUGGAUUUUUGCAAAAUAAAACAUUUUCUGUGUUACAUACUAUUCGAAUCUGGGGUAUCAUUCUUUAGUGAAUCAUGGACCCUUACAUUUGGAGACUCUUGUCUGGGACUCACUGGCAAACCCCUGACCCAAAUAGUAGGGUGUUUUUCUGGUCAGUCCAGGCUCCCAGUUGUCUUUUGUCUUGUCCAUCUCUAUGUUUCUGUUUCAGGUUUAAUCUGUUUUUCUGUUUCGGGCUUUAAUCUGGAGGCCAAGAGGGACAAAGCAGACAAGCAUCUUGUCAACCUACCAGGGCAACAGAGGGAAUUCCUGACCCCCUACUGGAAGCAGGAGAACUUGUUAGUUCUCAUCUAAAUUCUGAACUGGCUGUGGGUCUAUGGGCUUCCCAUGGGCAGCAAGGAAGAUCAUCUGAGACAGCCUUUUCAUUUUGUUUGUGUUUUCCAGGAAUGUCCCUCGGUGUCUGUCUGUGUGUAUUCUGUCUGUGCUUUUUGUCAUCUUGUACAAUGUUUUUCUUUGAUUCCUAGGAUUGGACAGGCAGAAAUUACCCCCCAGGGCUUGGUCCUGAAACAUUUUAAGGACUUUUGCAGAGUCACAGAAGACUCCAGUCUGGUUGUUCUUCCCUGCAAACUAAUCAUCUUUUGCAGGAAUGAGUGGCCCGUCUAUAAAGUAGCAUGGCCUGAGGAGAGGACUUUCCAUCUCCCCAUCAUUUACAGGGUGAAGGUUUCGUUUAUGAGGCCUGGGACUAUCUGGACCAAGUGCCGUAUAUCACCGUGUGGCAAUACCUGGUGUAGAAGCCCCCUGUUUGGAUGAGACCUUUUUUGUUAUGGGCUUUGCCACUUGACUCUAAAGGAGGGUCAGCCUUGCUCCCCCUUUCUGAUCCUGAGGAGGAUCUCUGUCCCCCUCCUUAUGUCCCUGCUUCUGCCACCUCUCCCAUGCUCAGCCAGCACAGGAGGAGGGAGGAGUGACAUCUGACUCCUUUGACUCUCCUGACUCCAUUUGGAGUGGACCUAACACUCUGGCCUGUACUGCCUAGAGGGCUGACUCCACAAUGGCCUUACCCCUCUGGCCUACAUGACCUCCAGAUGCUCAGGAGGGACAGUUCAUGACAUCUGUGUCAUUUGCCAGUAAUGAUCUUUACAAUUGGAAGUUGGAGAACUCCGCAUUUUCAGACCAUCAGCUCUCACAGGUCUUCUAGAUUCAAUCAUGCUGCCUCACCAGCCCACCUGGGAUGACUGUCAGCCACUGCUCCAGGUCUUCCUCAUGACAGAGGAGAGAGGGGAUCCUGGGAACCACCUGGAAAUUGAUUUUGGGAGCAAAUGGGCUACCCACUCAAGGUCAGAGUCCAGGCUGAAAUUGAUGCAGCCUUUCCUUUGUCUCAACCCAACUCGGAUUUUAACACUGCUGAAGGUAAAGAGAGGCUCCAAGUCUACUGCCAGAUUCUGAUGGGGGAGGGGGCACUCUGAGGGGUUGCCAGAUGGCCCACAAAUUUAUCUAUAGUGAGUCAGGUGAUACAGGAAAAGAAUGAGAGCUCCAGGAAAUAUCCCCGCCCCCCAUGCUAUUGAGGGAACCUUCAAGAAUCCACCCAGCUGGUGGCUUUCCAAUGCCAGACUGGUCCACUUUAAGCUCUAUUUUUGAAUCCCCCUCGUAUUAGAUAUAACCCAUCAUCUGUCCUAAACCCAGUCACCCUGCUACCUGACUCAUUCUCAGACAUGCAGCAUGUUUGCUUUAUAGUUCUGAGGCUUGCCCAGAACAUCAUGUUGAACUUGACUGACAUACCCUGGCCAGAUGUGGAAUGUGUCUACUUCAGAGAUGGAAAGCAGACUCAUUCAGAAUGGAGUCAGCUAUGUAGGGGCAGCAGUAGUAGACUUGGACUCUGUUAUUUGGGCAAGUGUUUUGCUACCAGGAACAUCAGACCAAAAAGCUGAACUAAAGUCUCUAACCCAGGUUUUAAAACUGGCAAAAGGAGCCAUGGCUAACUAACAUCUACACUGACAGCAGAUAUGCUUUUGAUACAGCUCAUGGACAUGGGUCCAUAUACUAAGAGAAGGGAUUGACUGCUGAAGGAAAAACCAUCAAAAAUAAGGCAUACUUGCUUUAUUGGAAGCAUUAUGGUUUCUUCUCAAAGUGGCCAUAAUUCAUUGCCCUGGGCAUCAGAAAAGGACAUCAGAAAUAGCCUGAGGGAACAGCUAGCUGAUAAAGCCAAAAAGGAAGCCACCCAAGCCUCCACUGCUAACAUCCUGGUAGCUUCGUUUUCCCCAGCCAUCCCUGAAUAUACUGUUGAAGACAAAGGACAUCAGGUGAAAUGCCAAGGAGUUUACAGAAGAAACAGAUGGUUGUUGACCUCUGAAGGUUGCACCAUCCUACCUAAGGAGUUUGCUAAGCCACACAUCCAUCAGAUUCAUCAAGCUUCACACCUGGUCACCGGAAACUGAAGGAAUUGUUGUGAGGGGCAAGAUACAAAAUAUUUGACUUAGGACACUUCGAUGAGCAGGUAAUCUCAGAUUGUGCCACCUGCCAGGCUGUGAACUCCUCAGGCUGCAAUCAAGGAGCCACUCCAGGAACCAGAAUCAGGGGUCAACAGCCAGGGCCUAAUUGGGAAAUAGAUUAUACAGAAAUAAAACCAGGAAAAUAUGGACAUAAGCAUUUGCUAGUUUUUAUAGAUACCUUUUCAGGAUAGGCAAAAGCCUACCCUACAAAGGAGACUGCCAAUGUAGUGGCAAAGAAGCCUCUGGAAGACAUCAUAACCGGGUGUGGUUUGCCUACCCUGCUUGGAUCUGACAGUGGGCCAGCAUUCAUCUUUCAAGUAACUCAAUCUCUAGCAUAGGUUCUGGUGAUCAAUUGGAAAUUUCAUUAUGCAUACAGACCCCAGGGCUCAGAGCAAGUAAGGAGGAUGAAUUGGACCCUGAAGGAGGCCUUGACCAAAUUAAUGCUUGAAACUGGCAGUGACUGGACAUCUCUCCUACCUUAGAUAGGGCUGGGAACACACGUAUACUUUAGGCCUCAUUCUCUUUGAGAUCCUAUAUGGGAGGCCCUCUCCCAUGCUGCCUAACCUCCAGUCUCAUAUCUUAACUGAAUAUGAGCAAUAUAAGUUUUACAAAUCCUUGGAAGCCCUCCCUAGGGUCCAGAAACAACUCUGGCUGCCAUCUGCCAGGUUUAUGAGUCUGCUCCUUCCCCUAGAGCCCACUGCUUUGAACCAGGUGACAAAGUCUGGAUUAAGACACAUAACCACAAAACUCUAGGACCUCACUGGAAAGGACCUUACUCUGUGAUCCUGACCACACCUUUGGCUGUUAAGGUAGAUGGGAUCAGGUCGUGGAUACACCACUCCCAGUUUAAGACUGCCAGGAGAGAAAUGAGGUUUAAGUCCCACUGGAGACUUCUAGGUGAACUGCUACAAGAACGAUGGAAGGUUACCCCACAGAGUGUUGAUCCACUCACUGAAACUGCAACUCCAGUGCUCCAAUCCUGUUUGUUUGCUGCUUACACUUUACUGCACCAGCCAGUAGCCUCCUUACUAUCUGGGCACCCCCAGGGGGGGGGGGGGAUGCAACAACUUUGUCAUCAAGUUCACAGUGGCUGGCAAGAAGGCUGAUUGGUUUGCUGGUUCUUAACUCCUCUUGCCCUAGACUUAACACAGAACUGUUGGUUACUGGACAGGGACUCUGCAUUGGAAAUAAAGUACCCUCAGCCUAUUCCCACCUCUACAACCACAUUGUACCCCCUACUGUUGCAGGACACAGGCUGCCCCCAAAGACUGCUUUGUGGGUUUGUACCUCGGGGUUUACUCUAUGCAUUUAUGGUCUGGUUGUAAAUACAACUGAGAAUUUUUAUGUUCUAGUACAGCUUGUACCCAGAGUGACUUAUUACUAUGGGGAGUAUGCCUUCAACCAGCUAGCACCUUCAAAUAAUCAGGUUCAAAGGGUGGCCAUUUUCACUGUGUUACUAGGUUCGCUCCUUGGCAUAGGGCUGGCCAGAGCUACAAGUAUAGGGACCUCAGCCCUAAAUACUCCAAGAUAAAAAUUACAGAACCCUAGAGAUGGCGAUCCAUGCAGAUAUACAGGAGAUGGAAAAGUUCAUCAAUGCUCUGCAGGAUUGAUUUUCCCUUUCCUCCUUCACAGAAGUAGUCUUACAGAACUGAAGAGGCCUAGACUUGCUGUUCCUCAUGCAGGGAGGUCUCUGUGCAGCCUUAUGUGAGGAGUGUUGCUUCCAUGUUGACCACUCAGGGGCUGUCAAAGAAUCCGUAGCCUUAGUAACAAAGAGACUACAAGACGGAAGAACAGACAGAAGACAGUCUUAGAGUUGCUAUGAGUCCCUUUUCAAUUGGCCUUCUUGGCUGACCAAGACCUUGCCUCUCCUCUGACUGGUUCUCUUAUCCUACUGAUGUUAGCUUUGGCUUGUGGUCCCUGAAUAAUCAAUGCUUUGGUUAAGUUUAUUAAGGAACAGAUUUCCACCAUUCAAUUAAUGAUUCUCAAAUAGCAAUACCAGCUCAUGAAACAUCUCAAGGAUUCAAGAUGACCCAAAACUGAAGAGGGGAAUGAGAAGGCUAGGCUGACUCCAUGACAGGCUUCAAAUUGGCACUUGAGGAGACUAGGCCUAAAUCUCUGUUUCCAAGAACUGGGCAAGUCUAGUCAAGUCCAGGCCUCAAAAGCUGCCCAGCCACCUGGCCUGAGGCAAGGGCAAAGGGUCAGCAGCAAUUUCCAGACUUCCUCAGCAAUAGUUUCUAGAACUCCCUAGCAAGUUUCCAGACCCUAGGCCCCAGCAAUGGUUCCAGAAUGUCCCUAGAGAUAGAGUCAAGAUUAAGGUAGAAGUCACCUACCACCCCCCAAGUCCCAACCCCCUGAAAUUCCUCUAAUUUUCUAUAAAUUGGGCCUGCAAGCUCACUUUGGGGUCUUACCAUCUUUGUAGAUGAAGAUGGGUAGACCCCAGCAUGUUGGACUUCUGCAGAAUAAACCACUCUUUGCCUAUACAUA